CCCUUAGAUGUCCUGGGCUGCACGCGCGCUACACUGAUGCGUCCAAUAAGCACCUAACCUAAUCCGAAGGGACCGGGUAACCUUAGCAAAGCGCAUCGUGAUGGGGAUAGAUUAUUGCAAUUAUUAGUCUUGAACGAGGAAUUCCUAGUAAGCGCAAGUCAUCAGCUUGUGUUGAUUACGUCCCUGCCCUUUGUACACACCGCCCGUCGCUCCUACCGAUUGAGUGUUCCGGUGAAUAAUUCGGACUGCAGCAGCGUGGGGACUCCUCAUGCUGCAGCGGAAAGUUUGGUGAACCUUAACACUUAGAGGAAGGAGAAGUCGUAACA
rnacentral:rRNA from 1 species